UCGAGAGAGUUUAUUCGAGGCAACGGGCCGUGGGGGACGUGGCGGCGGAGCCGACGGCGGAGGUGGACAAGCACCGUGGGUUAUUCCUUGUCCUUCGGCCCGUUGAAUCGCGUAGAUUCGCUCGUUGGCUGGCUGACGAGAUAACGGAGAUCGUUGCGGGUCUGCGUGUACCGAGCCAAAUAUGACUUCGAGAGGGGAAAAGGACAGAGAAAAUGGAUAUACGUAUAGCAAAUUGGAUACGAUCGCUCCUGUUGCGUCUGUACAGACAGCAGCAGAUAGUGCGAUCCGGGUUUUGGGAAAUUUGCAAAACUUCGAAAGCGGCGCGUAUUAAAACGAACGACGCAAAUCGGAAAACUUACUGAGAAAAGCGAAUUUGUCCGAAGAAACGGGUCACAAGCGACAAAGAAAAGCAAACACGAGGAUUCACGAGGAAAACGCCAAGGUUAAAGAUGACCGCGCGAGAGAGUGUACGAGGCCCCUCAUGGAUAGACGCAGACAUAGACCAGACCAUUCCUUCAUUCGGUCGGCUCGUUCAUUCAUGCCUCAGCCACACGUUUCAACCGUGUAGUCUGCCCGGCUGAAACUGCCCCCACCAACCAGCUACGCUUUUCCUUCUGCCUCUCGCUGCCGCUGACGUCGCGACGACCGCAAAAGAAUACUAUUCACGGGCCGACGAUCUCGCUCGCGCCAAGAUUUUCUGACGCGUCCCUCCAACACCGGGGGCGGUUUUCCCCGGCAACACGUGCGGGGGAGGAAUGCCCGAUGAAUGAAUCCUCGAGGAGGUUUCGCGUGCUACGCUUCGCUUUUGUGAAUGGAGCCCGACGAUGCUUCUCGUUUCUUUCUUGCCCAAUUUUAACCGAGUAUUCGUUUUUUAACGUUCUCUUUUUGUCGAGACAGUUGGAACAUCCAUAUAGAAAUUAUUUCGCGGUACGCUGUACGUUACGCAUCGUCGAACAAAUUACAAUUAAGAUUAGAGGAAAAGCCAGUCUCUGCAAUCGUUUAAUUAAUUCGGAUGUCUGUUUUAAACUACUAUUGAACUUCGUUCAAGGCUUGUUUCAGCUGUACAAGAUUCUGGAAUAUUCGACGUUUCUAGCGUGACUGCCACGCUCUUUCGUAUUAAAAGAUAUAACGUUAAAGAUGAUGUUAAUUAUCGUUCGAUCCUCGCGUCAAUUUCUAAAGGAAUAUACAUAGUAUACUGGUUACACUAUGUCGUUAUUGGUCAAUGACGCGACGAAUCUCAUUCUUCGACAUACACGAGCUUCUUUAUUGUCGAUAAAAAAUUUGCAAAUUUAUGAUAUCUUUCAUCUUUUCAUUACAUCAAUUUGCUUCGGCUCGAAUACCAUGACAAUUGAUAUUACCAUCACUUGCCCGAUACGACACAGACGUAGUCACCUGACUCGACAAAAAAAGCUACCCAAAGUUGCUUCUACGCUGCGAAAUAAAGUUGGCUUUCAACGCGAUUAGCUUCGCUACGAGUAAAAGUUUUCUCCAUCGUGUCCGCUGGAUAUCGAGUGGCGAGUUUAUGAAUGGUCUCGCACUGCCGGAAAUGCGUCCCGUAAGAAAUUUUUAGCCUUGCCCGCGAGCAAGAAGUUUCACAUUAAUCACCGCGAGGCAACAUCCUCGAGCUGAGAGCGUGUGGCGCGGGAAAGGCGGAGGGACAAGUAGAAAUUACCGACGUUGUUAAAUAGUGUUUGCGUUCGAGCGUACGGCGUAAUUACGUCUCGCCUUCCACCGAAUGCUACGUAUUCUCGUCGAUUAUUCCUCUGAAAACCGGGCUGCCGAGUAUUACGAGGCGACUUCCGUGCCCUGACGCGAGUAGAUCUUGAAUGGAAUCGUUCUACCUUCUUUUUUCAUCCUUUUCGUCCUGCUCCUCCUCCUACUCCUCCUCCUCUUCUUCUCCUUCUUCUCGUCUUGGAAGGAAACGUUGAUUUUUUAAUAAUGAUCCGAAGAUGAUUGGUACGGUGAACCGGUCAUUUCCGAAACGUGGUGAGUCACUACUAUUUUAAAAGUAGCUUGAUAUCCUUGAAACGUUAUUACAUUUCGAGGAAUAAUCGUAAUAAUCGAUAUCGAAAGUAAGCGGUAAAAGUUUGUUGCGAUAGGUUCCAAUCAUAUUUGAUCCAGGAUUUCAUCCACACAAUCUCACUAUCUCGAAACAUUUGCCAAAAUAUUUCAGGAAAUAUUUAUUUACCCUUAACAUUUUACCCUCUAAAUGUACCUAAACGACGGCCAAUCAAAAUAUUGCUGUAGAGACUGUGUGAGUAUAGACUAUAAAUUAAACAAUUG